GCCAUGUUGAAUGUACCGGUUCUCGUUCGAUCCCCGCAUUCAAACAUCAUCGGGCGCGGCCAGUACUUGGGAGGUGACCACCUGGGAACACCGCGUGCCGUU